rnacentral:lncRNA from 1 species
CCAGGAUCCCAGGAAGUUCUGAGAUACUCUGAACUUCACAGCAGGCUCAGGAGUGCCACGGUAAGACUACUAAACUACAAACAAAAAUAUUGAUCUGUUCACGUUUUCCUACUUCAGUUAUUUGUGAAGUAGACAAGAUUGGUUCUGCUUCAAAGUAGCUCUAGUUCAUAAAUUAUGCCUAUUUUCACAUCACAAUCUCAGGCAAGGGCCCAGCGUGUAGUGUUCAUUAUUAGUGUUCAUUUAAUUGAAUGAUAUACUCAGUAGCUUUUCUUUGGAAAAACUGAGUCUCACUUAAGGACCAGUUAGCUAAUUCUGCGUGAAUUCAUCCUAAAUUCAUCCUAAAACUUCAACAACAACAUUUAUUAACAACUUAAACACAAAUAUUUAUUAUUUCUCAAAGUUUUGUGGAUAGUUCUUUGCUGUGCCAGUUUGGAAUGGCCUCACAUGCCUCAUUGAUAUUGGCUGUUAUAUGAGAUGAUAGGGUCUAUGUCUCCAACAAACUGUCUGAGCUCAAUUACAAGGUGACAGUCACCGAGUUCCCAGGAGCAAGAGAAAGCAAGACCCAAUUGCACAAGCACAUUUUAACCUGCUGUAAUUUUUCUGUAAUGUCCUAUGUGGCUAGCUUUGAAUUUGCAAUCCUCCUGCCUCAGCCUCCCGAGCUGCUGGAAUUGCAGGCAUGUGCCAUUGCGCCCAGCUAAACUUCACCUACUGAUUAGAGAAACUACAAAAUACUGGGGCUCCUUCCACCUUACCUCUUAUAUAUCUGUGUGUGUUUCUUUUGUUGUGUAACAAAUUACUCCCAAACUUAAUGGCUUUAAACUACAAUUAACAUUUGUAAUCUCACAGUUUCUGGGAGUCAGGUCUUUGGGAGUAACUUUGCUGGGUGGUUCUGGCUUGGGGUCUCCCAUGGAGAGAAGGCUUAAGGAUCUUCUUCUGGAAGGCUUGACUGGGGCUUAAGGAUCCACUUCCAAGAUGGCCAACUCACAUGGCAGCAAACUAUGCAGGCUGUUGGAAGGAGGUCUCAGUUCCUUGCUUCAUGGACCUCACCAUAGAACUGUUUGAAUCUUUUUUGUUGCUGUUGUGGGGGUUACCGGGGAUUGAACCUGAUCAGGGGUACUCAACCAUAAGCCACAUCCCCAGCACUCUUUUGUAUUUUAUUUAGAGACAGGGUCUCACUGAGUUGCUAAGCGCCUCAUGGUUGCUAAGGCUGGCCUUGAACUUGCCACUCCCCACCUCAGCCUCCUGAGCCACUGGGAUUACAGUGUGCCCUACUGCAACUGGCCCUGUUUGAAUAUCUUAUGUUCUGAUCACAGCUGGCUUUCACCAGAGCAAGUGAUCCAGAAUAAAGCAAGGUAGAAACCAUUAGGCUGCCUAUGAGCUAGCUUUGGAAGACACAUACUGGCAGUUCUGCACUCUCCCUUGGCUUCAUAGGUCAGCCGUGUUCAUGGACAUGUGAAAGAAUGGCAC